rnacentral:rRNA from 1 species
UACGGAGGAUCCAAGCGUUAUCCGGAUUCAUUGGGCUUAAAGGGUGCGUAGGCGGAAUUGUAAGUCAGUGGUGAAAGCCUGCAGCUUAACUGCAGAAUUGCCAUUGAUACUGCAAAUCUUGAGUACAUUUGAUGUGGGCGGAAUGUGUCAUGUAGCGGUGAAAUGCUUAGAUAUGACACAGAACACCGAUUGCGAAGGCAGCUCACAAAACUGUAACUGACGCUGAGGCACGAAAGCGUGGGGAUCGAACAGG